GAGAGAUGCAAGGCAAAGUCAUGAGGUUCUCUGUACAGAGGGUCUCGCUUGGCCUUCUGUAGCCUUGUCUGAGCAGAAGUUCCAGGAGGAGGCUAUGGCUCUGGCUGCCACCACCGGUUGAGCUGGUCAGCAGGAAGUUUGACGUGCCAGAAAAACAAGGGAGGGAACAAGAAAGGCAUUUUUCCAACUUAUCCAGAUGCCUCGGAGCCUAGAGUUGAUUGGCUGAAGAGAACUGAUUUGAGUGAAGAAACAGAGGCAAAGGGAGCAUAAGCAAUUUUCCAAAGGCCAUACAACAUGCUAAAAGCUUCAUAGAAACCUAAAGGAGUUAGAGAAGGAAGAUCUCUCAAUGGAAAUGCUAAGAAGAGACACAAGGAAAGACACAUCACUAAGGAGAGACCCAAGGAAAAUGGCUCUAUGACUACAGUCCAUUUAAAGAAUGAGGGCGUUCCUUCUACCAAGUUACAGGUGGAGAUGUGUUUACCUGCUGGAUACCAAUGCUUCUAGCAUCAGGGAGAAGUUGAGCCCUGGAGGAAACAUUGCCUCUAAGUUUGUGUUCUGAUGGAGAUGAUGACUACUUCACAGGCACUUUGCAAGGUCUGAUGACAUUGACAAUACAUUGGACAAAGAGCAAAGGAAGAGGAGUCUGCAAAACAACAACAACAACAACAGAAAAAAACAAAAUAAAACAAAGGGUCAUCGGAAGAGUAACAGGAGAAAGAAGAGUUAAUGUGUGGUGGAAUCCUUGGGAAAGCAUGAGUCAAGAAGUAUAGUAUACACAAUUCAGAUAACCAAGGGGUUACUUCCAAAAGGAUGAAUGUAUUUGUAGGCAAGGCGCAUGGAAAUAAGGUAUAGCUUGCAUAAAAAUCCAGAGUUUUGGUAAUAAAAUCUUUCUGCUGAGUUUUAAUUUGGAUUUGAA
rnacentral:lncRNA from 10 species